AUAACUUUCUCGGCCUUUUGGCUAAGAUCAAGUGUAGUAUCUGUUCUUAUCAGUUUAAUAUCUAGUUUAAUAUCUGAUAUGUGAGCCAUCGGCCCACUCGAUAUUAAUCUUAUUUUUUCUGGGGAAAGACCCGUCACAAUAGCUUGCUAUUGGGGUCUUUAAGCGUCGCCUUGGUGUUGCACUACUGCCUUGGCCUGGCGCACCCCUC
rnacentral:snRNA from 2 species